CUAUAGCAACGAAAAACAUAUUUACAACAUGACAAAUGAUAAACAGCAGAGAUCAAUACAUAUAAAUCAUUACAAGAAAGCAAAUAACAUUAAGUAACAAUAUGUGAUCUGAUUGACCACGCAGAUUUAAUGUAGUUACACAAUCUUUUAAUAUGUAAAACAGACUUUAAUUUAAAUAGAUACUGUAAUUUAGUAAGGUUUGGCCAAGAACAAUAGAAUUUUGGCAAAUAUAUAGGCCUAAUUGAUCUAUAGGCAGGGCAUACUAAUAAAAAGUGGUAUUCGUUUUCAACACACUGCAUAUUACAACAUUUACAUAAACGUAAUUCUCUAGCCAUGCCAGUAUAUCUUCCUGUUUCAAUGUUCAGUUUAAAUGUACCACUUCGCAAUUUAGUUAAAAAGUGUGAAUUGUAACAAAAAUCUAAAUAAUGUUCAAACCUAAAUUCUAACUUUAUAUCCUUAUAAAUACUAAGUUUUUCGCUCUUUUCUACAUUUGAUAACCAGCUUUGUAUAUACUGAUCUUUAAUUCUAUUCUUAAUUACAUUUAAAAAAUCCAAUAGUAUAUAUUUCUGAUUGUUGAUACCAUAUAUAAUUGAGACCACUAUCAAAUAGUAGGUCACGUACAUUAGAAGCCCAGUUUUUUUUUUUUGCCAUUAAUUGGCAUCAUCAAGUAACAAUUUAUAAACAUCAUAAACAAUAGGUGUUUUGUUAGUUAACAUAUUCAACCAAUAUUUCAAAAAAUUCUAAAUUUUCUCAUGAUAUACAUAGGAAAAUGGCCCAAUUCUCCAUAUAAAAAACAAUUUGGGACAGAUUUGCCAACUUUUAAAAUAUAUCGACAGAAACGAUUGUGAAUAAUUUCAACAUCUUUACCUCGAUUGAAACCCCAUAUUUCCGAAGCAUAAUUAAGAACAGAUGCCAUCAUACUGUCAAAUAGAUCAAGUUGUUUCUUCUUUGACAAGUACAAAUCUUUCACUGAGUUUAACAAUGACGAUAAAGCUCGUGAUCCCUGUUGGGACACACG
rnacentral:lncRNA from 1 species